GUUUAAAGAUGCGGUACACGGAGGGUCCCUCGUGGAUGAUGAGACCUGAGGCCGCAGGGAGAAGAGAAAGACAAAGCAAGCUUAGCGAGUCUUUGGCUGCCUCGCCGAGUGCAUGAAACAGCUGGGAACCUACCUGCAGCGCCUUUGCCUGCCUUGGCUCCGCCCCUCCUGCUCCUUGGCCUGACAAAGUCCAAAUUCGUUGUCCACUGAGGCAUAAUAAAGUUCAUUCUGGCUCCUGGGAAACAACAUACUGAAGAGGGACAAGGGUAGGACCAGAAGACCAAGCAGGAAGUGAGGUAGUGAUUGAAGCUGGAAAUGAUGGUGGCCGAGAUGAGGGUGAGCACGGUGGAGACGGUGAGAAAUCGCUGGAGUCAGGAGUUCUGACGAUCAGAAGUUGAAAACCAGUGUCACUGGGCUAAAACGGUGUCAGCAGGGCUGGUUGUUUCUGGUGGCUUUGAGGGAAGGAUCGAUUUCCUUGCCUUUUUCAGCUUCGAGAAGUUGCCUGCAGUCCUUGCUUCUUCCUUGCAUAACUCCACCUUUUUCUCAUCUAUCAGCCUUCUUAAUUUUAGUGGUGGGAAAUCAUAACUCUGGCCUAAAAUUACAGAGUAAAGCUCCGAUCCCCUUCCUAUGUAAUGUCUGUCCUGCGUGUCUAUACAUGGUAUAAAUAAAUAUAUGCACAUAUAAAAAAUUAUAUUAAAAGUUAUAUUCCUAUUCUGAAAUGAAACUCAUUAGAUAAUAUAAGCUACUGUUUUCUCUUUUUUAAAUUAAUAUAAUGCCCUGACAGAUGAUGUAAAGAAAAACAAAAAGGAAGUCAUUUAUAACAAUAUAAUAUACAUUUCAGUGUAAAUGCUAGGGCACGACUGCUUUAGAAGACAAACCAAAAGCCUCGUGCAUUUCCAGAAUGCCGCCUCUGGGAUGGCAUCCCCUGUGCUGAGGACCACUGAUCUACAAAAGUGCUGAAGACAGGAAUGGUGGGAGGGAGUGUGUGCACAGGUGCAUCGGGGAUGGGAGGAGUGAGUAGGCAGUCAGCAGCCAGCAGCAUCAAGAAGGGAAAAGGGGUGGAGAUAUAGGAUGACAUUCACUUCAUAGCAGCUGGGGCUUCUGAGAGAUAAGGGGAGAGAGGCAGUUGGGUAGGGGUAAUGGUGAGCAGGGAGGACAUGGCCUCACCUCCAAGCUCUACAGAAUAUAGUGUAAGGGAGAAAAAGCAGCCAUCACUUGAGACAGCCAUGCAAGAAACAAUAUCCCCAGGAGACAGCUACAUUUCAGUUAAAGGAUGAUGAAGGGAACACUUGGAGAAGAGGCUGCCAUUGGUGGACUAUGAAGUCCAGAGGGCAUGUGGAAGGGCCGGGAAGAUGGGGCCCGUUAAGAGAUGAGCGAGACAGGAAAGGGAUGACUGUCCACAUCAUGAGGGUGGUCUGCGAGGCUGGGACCCAUGGUGGAUGAGACGACAUGGGGGAUGAGGCACAGGGGGAUUGGCCCUGCAGCACUGUAAGUCUAGGGGUGGCGGGUCUGGCCCCGGAGGGGAAGAGCUGACUCACAGAUGCAAACGGCAAUGAGUCACUUCCGCCAACUUGAUGACAAGCAAAGAGGCUGGAUGGCAACAUCUCAAAACCUCUUCAACCUCCAACACACUGUGAUUCUAGGAGACAAGACAGCUACCCAUGGCUCCUCUUUCUUCCAGGACUCCAACAGAGCCUGAAAUUGCCCUUUGUGCAAUAGGUCUUCAAGGGUCCACUGAAGGAGAGAUGGUCUCCCUGUAGCCCAGUUGUUCCUAAUCCUUUGGGUCACGUACUCAUUUGACAAAAGCUAAGGACCAUCUUCCUGGGAAAAACCAGACACAUGAAAUGUCCUUAUGAUUUUAGGGGGUUCAUAAAUCUUCUUUGGACCACUUGUGGGCCCCUCCCUUGACCUCCUGCCUGGUUAUGGACAAGGAGACAUCCUCUUUCUCACCAUCUCCCAAUGGGCCAACUCUCAUCACUUCUUUCAGCCUUUUCAAUACAUGCCUAUG